rnacentral:rRNA from 1 species
UACGAAGGGGGCUAGCGUUGCUCGGAAUCACUGGGCGUAAAGCGCACGUAGGCGGAUUGCUAAGUCAGGGGUGAAAUCCUGGAGCUCAACUCCAGAACUGCCUUUGAUACUGGCGACCUUGAGUCCGGGAGAGGUGAGUGGAACUGCGAGUGUAGAGGUGAAAUUCGUAGAUAUUCGCAAGAACACCAGUGGCGAAGGCGACUCACUGGCCCGGUACUGACGCUGAGGUGCGAAAGCGUGGGGAGCAAACAGG